CGCGGGAGGCUUAACACAUGCAAGUCGAGCGGUAACAGGAAUUAGCUUGCUAAUUUGCUGACGAGCGGCGGACGGGUGAGUAACGCGUAGGAAUCUGCCUGGUAGUGGGGGACAACAUGUGGAAACGCAUGCUAAUACCGCAUACGCCCUACGGGGGAAAGGAGGGGAUCUUCGGACCUUUCGCUAUCAGAUGAGCCUGCGUGAGAUUAGCUAGUUGAUGGGGUAAAGGCUCACCAAGGCGACGAUCUCUAGCUGGUCUGAGAGGAUGAUCAGCCACACUGGGACUGAGACACGGCCCAGACUCCUACGGGAGGCAGCAGUGGGGAAUAUUGGACAAUGGGCGCAAGCCUGAUCCAGCCAUGCCGCGUGUGUGAAAGAAGGCCUUUCGGGGU
rnacentral:rRNA from 1 species